UACGAAGGGGGCUAGCGUUGUUCGGAAUCACUGGGCGUAAAGCGUACGUAGGCGGAUCGUUAAGUCAGGGGUGAAAUCCCGAGGCUCAACCUCGGAACUGCCUUUGAUACUGGCGAUCUUGAGUCCGGGAGAGGUGAGUGGAACUCCUAGUGUAGAGGUGAAAUUCGUAGAUAUUAGGAAGAACACCAGUGGCGAAGGCGGCUCACUGGCCCGGAACUGACGCUGAGGUACGAAAGCGUGGGGAGCAAACAGG
rnacentral:rRNA from 1 species